rnacentral:rRNA from 1 species
AACGAACGCUGGCGGCAGGCCUAACACAUGCAAGUCGAACGAGUAAGAGCCGUAGCAAUACGGAGUUCUGCUAGUGGCGCACGGGUGAGUAACGCGUGGGAACGUGCCUUGGAGUUCGGGAUAACAGUUGGAAACGACUGCUAAUACCGAAUAUUCCCUCAGGGGGAAAGAUUUAUCGCUCCAAGAUCGGCCCGCGUAAGAUUAGGUAGUUGGUGGGGUAAUGGCCUACCAAGCCUACGAUCUUUAGCUGGUCUGAGAGGACGACCAGCCACACUGGAACUGAGACACGGUCCAGACUCCUACGGGAGGCAGCAGUGGGGAAUAUUGGGACAAUGGGGCGAAAGCCUGAUCCAGCAAUGCCGCGUGAGUGAUGAA